rnacentral:rRNA from 1 species
CCUACGGGAGGCAGCAGUGGGGAAUAUUGGGCAAUGGGCGCAAGCCUGACCCAGCAAAGCCGCGGGAAGGAAGAAGGCUUUCGGGUUGUAAACUUCUUUUCUCAGGGACGAAGCAAGUGACGGUAACUGAGGAAUAAGCCACGGCUAACUACGUGCCAGCAGCCGCGGUAAUACGUAGGCGGCAAGCGUUAUCCGGAUUUACGGGGUGUAAAGGGCGUGUAGGCGGGACGGCAAGUCAGAUGUGAAAAUCACGGGCUCAACCUGUGGGCUGCAUUUGAAACUGUAGUUGUGGAGUACUGUAGAGGCAGACGGAAUUCCUAGUGUAGCGGUGAAAUGCGUAGAUAUUAGGAGGAACACCAGUGGCGAAGGCGGUCUGCUGGACAGCAACUGACGCUGAGGCGCGAAAGCGUGGGGAGCAAACAGGAUUAGAUACCCCAGUC